GUUUGAGUGACGUUUGAGUGACGUUUGAAAUGGAGCUUUGGUGGUUUUAAACUGCAUGUGUUCAUUGUAAUCCCUAUCAACAAGUUAAGAGCACCAACUGGCUGUGUUCAACAGUGUUGGGGAAAUGUUUUUGCCACGACCUUUUGCUUACAGAAUGGACUCACUUUCCCUGAGGUUGUCUUAACCGCAUGAUCGACCUGGCUAUGACCAAAGAACUGUUGUACCUGGCCAUAGUGGCCCUUCAAAGCUCCCUGGUCCUGUCGCAUCUGGGAGUUGUGGUGUUGUCCCAGUGUUCAGCGUUCUGAUCCGAACUCCUAUAAAAGGAUUCAUAAGACUGCUGCUUCCCCCUUCAUUCCUCAGACUCCUGAACAGGCUGGGUGUGUUCCUGCUGGAGUACCUUACCCUAGUUUAUUUCCACUACCUCACCUUUCAGUCUCCAAGUAAGUUCCAGACAGGGCUUCUCUCAGAUUGAAUGUCUGAAGACCAACGGUUCCCACUUCCUGAGGGUGCAGUGGCGGCAGGUUCUAUUCCAGCCCCACUCCCUGCUACAGCAGCCCCACCCUGAGUUGUUAGACCAGAGCCUAGCCAGGAAGGGCUUGAGGCUAAUUAUGGUGAGCUGUUCAUCACUGAAGAUCCCUGCUGGCACCAUCAGCCAUUUCAGAACCUGCUAUGAGCAUGGGAAUGACCAAUGUAGCUCGUCCAGCUUCAUCUGGUACCAUCCUACUGUCACAUACAAACAGCUGUUUCCUGAACCCAGUGAUACCAAGGUAAAGAGGACUCUAGCUCUGCCAAGGGUCAGGUUGGCUCCAGUCCUUCCCAGCAGAGCCAGGGAGUAACUAUGGUUUUCAUGACAGUACUGUCAUGAAACCACAG